CCUACGGGAGGCAGCAGUGAGGAAUAUUGGUCAAUGGACGCAAGCCUGAACCAGCCAUGCCGCGUGCAGGAAGACGGCCCUAUGAGUUGUAAACUGCUUUUGUACGAGGGUAAACGCAGAUACGUGUAUCUUUCUGUAUGUACUGUAUGAAUAAGGAUCGGCUAACUCCGUGCCAGCAGCCGCGGUAAUACGGAGGAUCCAAGCGUUAUCCGGAUUUAUUGGGUUUAAAGGGAGCGUAGACGGGUGGUUAAGUUAGAUGUGAAAGUCUGAGGCUCAACUGUAGAAUUGCAGUUGAUACUGGUAGGCUUGAGUGUAGUUGCGGUAGGCGGAAUGUGUGGUGUAGCGGUGAAAUGCUUAGAGAUCAUACAGAACACCGAUUGCGAAGGCAGCUUACCAAGCUACUACUGACGUUGAGGCACGAAAGCGUGGGGAGCAAACAGGAUUAGAUACCCUAGUAGUC
rnacentral:rRNA from 1 species